rnacentral:rRNA from 1 species
CCUACGGGUGGCAGCAGUGAGGAAUAUUGGUCAAUGGGCUUACGCCUGAACCAGCCAAGUCGUGUGAGGGAAGACUGCCCUAUGGGUUGUAAACCUCUUUUGUCAGGGAGAAAUUGGCGCUACGUGUAGCGUUAUCGAGAGUACCUGCCGAAAAAGCAUCGGCUAACUCCGUGCCAGCAGCCGCGGUAAUACGGAGGAUGCGAGCGUAAUCCGGAUUUAUUGGGUUAAAAGGGUGCGUAGGCGGAAUGCCAAGUAAGCGGUAAAAUCGCGGGGCUCAACCGCGCACUGCCGUUGAAACUGGCGUUCGUGAGUGGGCGAGAGGUAUGCAGAAGGCGUGGUGUAGCGGUGAAAUGCGUAGAUA